rnacentral:rRNA from 1 species
UACGGGGGGCAAGCGUUGUUCGGAAUUACUGGGCGUAAAGGGCUCGUAGGCGGCCAACUAAGUCCGACGUGAAAUCCCCAGGCUUAACCUGGGAACUGCGUCGGAUACUGGAUGGCUUGAAUUCGGGAGAGGGAUGCAGAAUUCCAGGUGUAGCGGUGAAAUGCGUAGAGAUCAGGAGGAACACCCCGUGGCGAAGGCGGCCCUCUGGCUCGACCCUGACGCUGAGGCGCGAAAAGCGUGGGGGAGCGAACGGG